rnacentral:rRNA from 1 species
UACGUAGGGUGCAAGCGUUGUCCGGAAUUAUUGGGCGUAAAGAGCUCGUAGGCGGUCUGUCGCGUCUGCUGUGAAAACCCAGGGCUCAACCCUGGGCCUGCGUUCGAUACGGGCAGACUAGAGUUCGGUAGGGGAGACUGGAAUUCCUGGUGUAGCGGUGAAAUGCGCAGAUAUCAGGAGGAACACCGGUGGCGAAGGCGGAUCUCUGGGCCAUUACUGACGCUGAGGAGCGAAAGCGUGGGGAGCGAACAGG